AAUGGAGCGGGAGAAAAUGCCUCCUCCUCCAAAGCCAAAGGAAACGUUUGUGAGUGAAAGGUGUUGCUAUUAAUCCUUACUCAGGAACAACCACCAUAAACCAAGAAUAUCCCAGGCCAACAAGGACAUAGUCGUUGUAUUCAAAGCUGCAAUAAAUAGAGAUUGACUCAUCCUGGGCUAUCUUCUUCUCCCAUUUCCUUAUGAGUCUGGGAAAGGUGGGUGACUGAGGCAUGGAGACUUGGAUGUAGGAAAGAGAAACCCUGAAAAGUGGAAAGCAGACAUGCAACAUUGGAGCAUGGCAUGCCCCCCACUGACAAGGUACUGGCAGCAAAAAAGAUCCAGUCCUGAUGGUGGGGCACGCUGGUGCAAUGCACACUACUGCACGUGACCCUCAGAGCUUUGAUCAUUCAGUGCUGGUGGAGGCAGGUGCUGGCAAGGCUGCAGGCGAAGAGGCAGCGGGCAGCACUGGAGCUCUGUGCACGGCAGCUAUGGGCAGCAGUCAGGCUGCAGUCCUGGGUCCGCAUGUGGCGUGUCCGCUGGCGUUACUGUCGUUUGCUCAACGCUGUCCGCAUCAUCCAGGUCUAUUGGCGCUGGAGAAGUUGCCAUACCCGUGGCUUUUUCCAUGGCAGCUACGAGCUCACAACAAGCCAGCUGAGCCUUGAGCUUGACAUCUUCCUGGGAUCACAUAUUUGCCGAAUUACAGACUGCAUCCCCUUCCCAAUAAAGAAGUGACAAGGUGCUCCAA
rnacentral:lncRNA from 1 species